ensembl:lncRNA
GUAGAGUAUUGCCUCACAGAGAAUUCAGGAGAUGCAAUGAGUAUAAAGCCGUCUGUGUUCUGUACCAGAAGACAUGCUGGGAACAGAAACCGGUCAUCAGAGAUCAGUGCCAUGCCCGUAGAAAUGGUGCGAUGAAAGUUUUCUAAAUGAAUAGAUGAACCCAAAAAGGCCUUUACUAUCUGCUCACUGUGGUGGACACGAGGAUGUGCUGUUCAGACCCCUCUCAGACCUGAGGGCCUGAUGCCCCCAGCUGCUGGGGUGCUGCAGGUGGCUGGUCCCUCUGGGUUGUCUGCCUAGGACAGUAGCUUUGCACAAUGGCUGACUGAUGAAGGGGUAGGGAGCCCUGGUCCUCUCACUGAAAUGGGACAGCGUUGAGAGGUCAAUCCAUCUUCAGAACUUCCCAGAGGUUCGGCUGAAAUGUCCACUGAAACUGCAUUGCAGGAGAUCCUGUUGUGGCUCACCAGGUCAAGAACCUGAGUAGUAUCCAUGAGGAGGUGGGUUCAAUCCCAGGCCUUGUUCGUUGGCUUAAGGAUCCAGCAUUACUGCAAGCUGCAGCAUAGGUUGCAGGUGCAGCUCGGAUCUGGGGUUGCUGUGUAGGCCUGGAGCUGCAGCUCCGAUUCGACGCCUAGUUUGGGAACUGCUACAGGCCACAUGUGCGGCCCUAAAAAGAAAAAAAAGAAAGAAAGAAACCGCAUUGCAGCACCACUUCUUCCUCUGCCCAAUUUUGCUUCAUUCUCUUCCUUAUCCUUCCAUAGGUGUUGGAUCCCAAGAGCACUCCCUGAAAAAUGCCCUGCACACCAAUCUCAGUCUCAGAGUCUGCUUCCUAGGGCACCCAAGCUGCAACAUUUGGGAGAUUAUAUGGUGCCUAGAUCAAGAAUUUUAAAAAGAGAGUGGUUUCAGAGAAUAUUUCUUGAAUAUUCUUUUCCUUCGGAUUGUGAAUUGAUAUCAGGCUAAUUCUUGUUGCCCUGCUUCUCUGACUAACCAGUGACAACCUCUGGAAGCUUGGAUUGAAGGAAAAUGUGGCCAAGUGUCUGAGAUCAUUCUCAGCAGGCAAAGCUGCUCAAGCUGAACAAUUUUAAACAGUGUCUCAUUAGAGAAAGAAGAGGAUAAACAGUGCAAGAGGAAAUUUAAAGACUAUUCAAUGGAAUGAACUUGUUUGAGGGACAUUCCUACUAUAUUGAAGGCACAAAACUAUACAAGUUUUUAUUUCUUUGCUUUUAUAUCUCCAGAAGGCAAAAAUCAAAACCCAUUUAUAGAUAUAACAGCCCACCAACACUAGAAGAGUUUUUCUUUUUGAAAUUUUAGAAAGGAGUUGAAAUUUCAUAUGAAAUGUAAGGCUCCCAGAAUAACCAAAAUAACCUUGAAGAAAAAAAAAAAAAGAACAAAGUUGGAGGACUUAUAUUCUUAAUUUCAAAGCUACAAAGCAACAGUCAUUAUGACAGUAGGGUACUGGGAUAAGGAAAGACAUAUUGAUCAAUUGACUAGAAAUGAGAGCCCAGAAGUAAACAUACGUAUCUAUGAUCAGCUGGUUUUUGAAAAAAAAACAAAACAAGACAAAACCUACCUCAUUUAAUGGAGAAAGAAUAGACUUUUCAAUAAAUGAUGCUGGUACAACUGGACAGCCACAUACAAGAGAAUGAGCUGGAUCUAUCUUACACCUACACAAAAAUUAACUCAAAGUGGAUUGAAAGCCUAAAUAUAAAAGCUAAACCUGUAAGAUUCCAAGAAGAAAACAUAGGAGUAAACCUUUGUAACUUUGGAUUUGGCAAUGGGUUCUUAGAUAUGACGGUAAAAGCAUAGGCAACAAAAUGAAACACAUGGAUAAAUUUGACUUCUCUUAUAUUAAAAAUUUUUAUUUUUCAAAGUACAUUAUCAGGAAAGUGAAAAGACAACCCACAGAAUGGGUGAAAAUAUUUCCAAAAGAUAUAUCUGAUAAGAAUACUUAGAACAUAUAUUUAGAAUAUAUCAGGAAUUCUUACCAUUCAAUAAUAGACAACCAGAUUUUAAAGUGAACAAAUGAUUUGACUAAACAUUUUUCCAAAGAAAAUAACCAAAAGACCAAAAGCUCAAGAAAAGAUGCUAAACACCAUUAGCAAUCAGGGAGAUGUAAAUCAAAACCACAAUGAGGUAUCAUUUCACACCCACUACAAUAAAGAAGACAGACAAUAAUAAGUGUUGUCAGGAUGUGGAGAAAUUGGAAUCCUCAUAGAAGGUUGGUGGGAAUGUAAAAUGUUGCAGUCAUUUUGGAAAACAGCCUAAUGGUUCCUCAAAGGAUUAAACAGAGAUACGGCAUGGAGUAAAAACCAGCAAUUCCACUUUUAGGUACAUACUCAUGACAGAUGAAAACAGGUUCACAUACAAACUCGUAAUGUUCAUAGCAGCAUUACCUAUAAUAACUAAAAGGUAGAAAUAAACCAAAUGUCUAUCAACUGAUGAAUGGAAGAAUACAAGGUGGUAUAUCCAUACAAUGGAAUAUUAUUUGGCCAUGAAAGGAAGUAUGGGCAAUGAGGUCCUACUGUACAACACAGGGAACUGCAUGUGAUUGGGUCACUUUGCUGUACAGUAGAUAUUAAAGAAACAUUGUAAACAAAAAAAAAAAAAAAAAAAAAAAAAAAAAAAGACCUUGCUAAUAC